UACGUAGGGGCCUAGCGUUGUCCGGAUUUAUUGGGCGUAAAGAGCUCGUAGGCGGUUUGGUGAGUCGGGUGUGAAAUCUCCACGCUCAACGUGGAGGAGCCACCCGAUACUGCCAUGACUAGAGUCCGGUAGGGGAGUGUGGAAUUCCCGGUGUAGCGGUGAAAUGCGCAGAUAUCGGGAGGAACACCGGUGGCGAAGGCGGUUCUCUGGGCCUUACCUGACACUGAGGAGCGAAAGCGUGGGGAGCGAACAGG
rnacentral:rRNA from 1 species